CCACGCAUAGCUAUUUCCUUCAAGGUGAGAGUCUCCUCAUUUGUUCUUAAUCUGGUUCUUUCCAGCUUCUUCAGUUACCGCCUCACCUGCUUCCUCAGUCCCUCUUCGCAGAAGCUCCUUCCCCUGCGCAGACGUUCAGUGGACCUCCCUUCUUCAAGAGCAAAAACACGGGUCAUCACCUCCAGGGAACGGAGCCUCGCCCAGCCUCCGGAGACCCAGAGUGUGUCUCUCUCUCCAAGAGGAGGUCAGGUCAGUUUGGUGUCUCAGUUCUUACUCUCCAGAGACCUGGCUUUUCCUCCUCAUUCACACAUUCCUGUCUUCCUCAGCACAUCACAGCCCAGAGCGCGGGGGAAGGUCACAAGGAGCGGGCAAUUCGCAAUGGAGUUUCCCGUGACCCACAGCCAGAAGUUGAAGGGCAGAGGAUGGCAGAGAUCAGUGGCCCUGAGGUCUGACCGCCGGCCAAGGCUCCCGCCAGACCUCAGCAGAUGACCUAAACUCUGACCCUUCGUCUAACACCAACCAGCGGUGUGACCUUGGAUAAAGAAUUUAACCUCUCUGAGUCUAUUUCUUCUUCUCUGAAAUGGGCAUAAAUGUAUUUUCCUACAGUGACAUAGAUGUUUAUGCUUCCUCAUCUACAUUUUCUGGGAAAUCUAAAAUGACACAAAAUCAGAGCCUGGUGUGAAUAAAGCCCCAGAAGUCUAUAAAAGGAAAAUGGUUUGCCCAGGUCUACACAACAUUUUCCAGAGCCUUGUCCAACCUAAAGACCAGGCUUUUCAACUAUUAUACUUGGAAGGCCCCCGACUCCCAGCAGUUCCCACUGCUCCAGACUACAGGUAAAAACACUUAGUAACUGGUAAGACACUAGGUCUGAUGUGUUGUUAUUAUUAUAUUUAUAAUCAAUAUAAGGAUUGUUGUGGGUUCUUGUCCUCUAACAUUACAGCUGGUUUAUAUGCUCUUACCUUAGUUCUUUAAAAAUAGAAAUGAAAAAAUUUUAUUGCUUAAAAAAUCCCAUAUUUUUAUGUUUCCUCUGGUUUACUUUUAAUAGACAAAAUGACCACAGAAACUUUUAGGUUGUGAAGCAUGUUCCCA
rnacentral:lncRNA from 1 species